CCUUGCGCCCGGGGGUCUGCGGAGCGCGCGGGCGCGGUGGGCGCGGGACUCCCCAGACCCCUGUCGUCGUCUGACUCCUCCGGGCGUGGGCCGGGGGCUGGCGGCCGGGACCCCCGGCUCUGGGCCUCCCAGUUUGGGCCUCAGUUUCCACAUCCACAAACCGGGGAGAUCCCUUUCUGGAGGCCGAGUGAGCGGGCUCCUCCCCAAAGCAAAGAGAACUCCGAGCCUCGUACUCUUCCCGUCUGAAGUCCGUGGGAACACCAGCUCCAACAGAUCAUUCUGCCCUUUCGUGGAAACAAGAUUCCAGGGAUGUUCUUCCAAAGGGAACCUUAGAUUUUGCGGCGGAACCUGUGUCCAGAUAGGAAGCCUACACACGGGUAAGUGAAAACGACUCUCGGAACAAUUCAUCGUAAAGCAAAAUAUCAACAUUCCACGUGAUGGUGCGUGUGAGUUUUGUACGUUCCCACGAGAGGAUGUGUUUGCAAAAGGCGAGCAUUACUUCCUUGGAACCUCGGGCAAUUAGAAUGAGAAGCAGUGAGCGUUGUGCCGACAGUCCCUGGCUCCAGUCCAGGGGAGCACACCUCAUCGGGAGAUCACAUCUGUCACGGAGAUGGGAAAAGGGAAGGUGGUGAACUUCCCACCCCACCCAGCCGUGCGCAGACCUGCCAACAUCCUGUGUGUUCUCCGUUCCUAGCAUGUGCUGGGCAGCGAGGACACCACGAGAUCGCCGCCUUCCCGACACCCUGUUCCCCUAAUCCCCUAAAAUGCCAAGGACUAGUAGAGCACCAAGUGCAUAAAGGGGGAAGCAUAAGGGAGAUAAAAAGACCUCUUCAGUCCCACCCCAGUAGAUAAGCUUGACGGAAACAAGGACUUUAUCCGUCUUGCUCAUGGCUGUAUCCCAGAGCCCGGCACCUAGCCUGACGAGCCAACGAUGGCUCUGGCACCCCUGUAUUCAUUCACCAGGGGCUGAGGAGGGAGGACUACUGUGAGCUGUGCUCCCUGGCUGGACCUCUUACACGGAGCCCUCUGUGGGUGCAGGAAAGUGCCUGUCUUCCAUAGGCGCGUCCACUCCUGACGUGGCCCU